rnacentral:ncRNA from 1 species
AUCCCUGUGAGAAUGCCCUACUGUGCUCCAUGCGAGAACAAGGAGCGGGUAUCAGGCACAGACAAUACUAGCCCACGACACCUUGCUAAGCCACACCCCCAAGGGAAUUCAGCAGUAAUAAACAUUAAGCAAUAAGUGUAAACUUGACUUAGUUAAGAUCAAGAGAGCCGGUAAAACUCGUGCCAGCCACCGCGGUUAUACGAGAGGCCCAAGUUGAUAAAUAACGGCGUAAAGAGUGGUUAAUAAAUAUGAAUACUAAGGCCGAACGCCUCCGAGACUGUUAUACGUAUCUGAAGGAAGGAAGAACCCCCACGAAAGUGGCUUUAAACAUAUGACCCCACGAAAGCUAGGACCCAAACUGGGAUUAGAUACCCCACUAUGCCUAGCCCUAAACAAAAGCAGUAAUUAAUACACCCCCUGCUCGCCAGGGAACUACAAGCUCAGGCUUAAAACCCAAAGGACUUGGCGGUGCUUUAGACCCACCUAGAGGAGCCUGUUCUAGAACCGAUAAUCCCCGUUUAACCUCACCCUCUCUUGCCCAGCCCGCCUAUAUACCGCCGUCGUCAGCUUACCCCGUGAGGGAUCAAUAGUAAGCAAAAUUGGCAUAGCCUAAAACGUCAGGUCGAGGUGUAGCGUAUGAGAGGGAAAGAAAUGGGCUACAUUCACUGAGCCAGUGAACAACGGAAAAUGAAAUGAAAUAAGCGUCCUAAGGAGGAUUUAGCAGUAAGAGAAAAAUAGAGAGUUUCUCUGAAACUGGCCCUGAAGCGCGCACACACCGCCCGUCACUCUCCCCAAGCUAAAGUAUACAACUAAAUAAAAAAUAUCCAUGCAUAAGGGGAGGCAAGUCGUAACAUGGUAAGUGUACCGGAAGGUGUACUUGGAAAAAU